AAAAAGACAAACCUCUUAUGUUUUCGUAUCCAACUUUAACUGUCUGUCUUAUAUAAAUUUUUUUUAUAAUUCAUAUUUUUAUUGUUGUUAGAUGAUAAAACAUAAUUAAUACUUUGUACGUGACUUGUCUUUUUAAAUUUUUUUUAUAAUUUUUUUAAAUAAAAUAGACGGUCAAACGUUAGGUACGGAAACCAGUGUUUGUUUUUUGG
rfam:Oryza barthii chromosome 8, whole genome shotgun sequence.